rnacentral:rRNA from 1 species
AAAUUGAUCUCCCCGUGCAGAAGCGGGAUACUAACAUAAGACGAGAAGACCCUAUGGAGCUUUAGACACAAGAGUAGAUCAUGUUAAGCCCCGAACAUAACCGGACCGAAACCAAUUGACUNCUACUCCUAUGUUUUUGGUUGGGGCGACCACGGGGAAGCAAAAAACCCCGGGUGGAACGAGAGGACACACCUCUUAAAACCAAGAGCCACAGCUCUAAGAAUCAGAAUAUCUGACCUAAAAGAUCCGGUAAACCGAUCAACGAACCGAGUUACCCUAGGGAUAACAGCGCAAUCCCCUNUUAGAGCCCAUAUCGACAAGGGGGUUUNCGACCUCGAUGUUGGAUCAGGACAUCCUAAUGGUGCAGGCCGCUAUUAAGGGUUCGUUUG